CUCAGGUCAUCCAUCAGUUACUUUGAAAACAGGCAGAGCUCUGCCUUGUGACAUCUGGCCAAUCUCCGGACCACUUUGAUCUUAUAAUCAGGAACCCAUCUACCACAGCAGCCACAGCCUCCAUCACAGCUAGAUGCUGUUUCGAACAACCAUUCUGCAAUAAUAACAUUUCAGAUCCUUUCUACAGGAAGCCAUAAGUAUAGUAUACCCAUGUUUGCCUUCCAAGUAACCUCAGGAACAGGAGAUGAUGCCUACAUCAGAACCACCACAGACACAGCCUGGUUCCAGAGGUGAUAAAAUGUGCAAAAAGAAAGAAAGCAAAUCUUGGAAUUUUU
rnacentral:lncRNA from 1 species